rnacentral:lncRNA from 1 species
GUAUUCUUGGUCAGAUUUAUCUGUGGAAAGUGUUACACGUAAUGACCAGCACGUUUGAGCGGUUUUUGCGGCUGUACUGGCGGUAUCUUGGAUUCAUCAGCGCUGGUCGAACUACACCGAUUUCCUCAGCUAUAAUUCUUCCAUAAGGAGAUCUGUUUACCUUUCUAUGGUUGUUUCUGAAACCCAAGACUUCAUGUAGGUGGCGUACAGGAACAUGUGCAAACACAUUCUACAUCCCAAGAUAUGUUGCUGGAAGCGUUCAAUAAAUCCUGUUAAGUUU